UUUCUGGUAACACUGAGGGUAUAAAUUGUGGCUGGGCUCUGUGUGUGCAUUCACAUCAAAAGCCAAAAUGAAGACAUGCACACUCUUUGCUCUAGUGGCUUUCAUCACCGUGGGGAUGGAGAUGGCCUGUGGUGACCCUCUGACACCUCGUGUCCAAGAGCAACAAAGACCUGGAGUCUGCCCGAAGGUGUCUUCAGACGUCAUUGGGCCUUGUUAUGUUGGAUGCAUAGGAGAUGCAUCAUGUCCCAAGGGAAUGAAAUGCUGCGUCCAUGGAUGUGGUCGUGUCUGCAAAACUGCUCUCCCUGCAAAGGGUGGCUUGGGUGGCCAAGUGAAAGAUGGACAAGGUGUUUAUUAAGCGUGCCUGGAGACGAUCCUCAGAAGAUUUCUCAUGAAUCUGAUGCUUGGCUAACAAGACUCUUCUACAAACCAUUCCUGGCUAUUCUCUAUCCCUGGACUUGCAGCUCUAGAAGAUGAAGAUCUAAAGUGGUGGAGUGACCACUUCUAAAGAUCUUUUGUCCAAAAUAAACCUUAUCUGUGGCAUGAUUCAGGCUCUGUCAUUCUUCCCAUUUACGCAUUCUAGUGGACCCUCUGUGGAUGGGCAGGACCAUAUGUGUGUCCUGCACUGAGCCCAUGAAUGCAAGGUACUCAUGAAAGAUCAGAGGCAAGAUCCUUCCAGCUAGUUCCCUUCCUCCUUCCAUGUCCAUGUCUCUAGACAGGGCAAAGGGCAUAAUAAUAUUUUCUCAAUUAUUCUGUGAAUAAAAAUGACCUUCUAGCACUUAGAAAGCCUAUUGGAGCAGGACUGGAUGCCUAACUCCAGGAGAGCAACCCCAGCCCUUGGGAUGUGGGACUUUGAGUGGCAAAGACUGGGAAGUGCCAGCUCCUGCCCUGGAGUGACUAGGAGUUAGGGUACAGUUAGGACAGAGGCUCUGUGGGUGGAGUCUUUGAUUCAGAGUUUUCCUGAGGCAGAGGAUAAACCUAGGUCUCCCAAAGAAGCCUUGACAAAAACUAUGGUCUGAGCUGACCGCUACAAGCUCCAUCUCCCAGCGCUCUCUGUUCACUUUCCCACCUUGAUUCCCCCCACUUAGCCUGCCGAGUUUGGCAGGCUCCCAUCAACUUGUCCCUGUCCAUCACGCUGCUGUUGCUUCUCCAUAGCACAUCUUAUAACCCCAGUGGCCCAGGGCCUCACCAGUCUGUACAUUGGAAGGAGCAUAUUAGCAUCAAUAUCUUCUUUUACUGGUUGGUCAUCUAGGUCCCAAACCCCAGCAUGCUUUAGUCACUCUUGGUCAUUUAUGGGGGUUCAUAGACACCUCUAACAUGGUCUCAAACAAUUUCACCUAUUGUCUGCCAUUCUGAAUGCCAAAGAUACUUGAGGAUGGCAUCCUACAACUUCCACUUACCUUUCUGCCCUUUAGAUAGUCCUGAAAUCCCUAGAAAGUUGUUUGUGCUCUUUUGUGAGCUUCUCAUUUUUUUUCUCGCCUGCAUUCCAACCCCCUUUAUAUUUUGGAGAAAACUCUUCUUUCUCCUCUUGGAAAUUGACAAGGGCCAGACAGUCUCACCCUGCUUCCUAGCAGGUAGGGUUUGGAAUUAGGAUGCUAUUUUCUGAUGAUGUGGAUUGAUAGGGAGUGACACUUAAGACUUAUGAAUUGUCAAAACCAAUUCACAACAGCAGAGGUGCCAGUGACAGCAUCCUAACCAGAUUUGCCACGGGCUGGACUUGGCUAUGUCCUCUUCUACCUGCUGUAUUUAGGUCCUUGAUAUUUUCCCCAAGCCUGGUUCACCAGCCUUUCCUACUGUUUCUGUGAGCUGUAUAAUAAUGUCUUUCCAGAACUCCUGCUCUCUCAAGUUGGACAGAAUUGGCUUUUUUGUUUGCAUCCAAGAACAUUCACUUGUACAGAAAUUGGUGUCAGGAGUGGACACAGGCCAAAAAUACUCAGGGAGAUGGCAGGAGUCUGGGUUUUAUGAACUGGUCUAGUUAGAAGCCCCCUUAUUCACAUACCUAUGCUCUCCUGUUCACGAGGCCCACCCCCUUGAGAACUUGGGUGGUCUCUGUUUUGGGGAGCCACUUCCAUGAUGGGCAGAGCUACAAAUGGAACCCUGGGUUGCUCACAGCCUGUGUUUCUUUACCUGUGACCUCUGGCUAAGCACCCCUCACCCCGUGGCCAUUUGCUCUAAUGGGCUUCUCCCUUCCCCCGACCCCCCUCUCCCACCCUCAGUGGACAGGGGUGCUGUCAUUGCACCUGUGCCUUUGGCAGCUGCUGGGUGCCUCCUGGUACAAGACCCUGAUGCCACCCCACCUCUGUGGCAGCAUCUCUCAUCCCCUGGAGACCCCAUUCAGUGCUCCCCUGCAGCUCCAAGGACCUGCUGAGCCCAGGUCCCAGCCUGUCACUAGUUCCCCAAGUCCUGCCUGCAGCCCCAGGAUCCUCAAGGCAGUCUGAGAGGAGGAUUGACCCCUUAGACAGAGUGGUGCAGACACCAGGUGGGUACUCUGCCCCACUCUCAUGUGAUCCUGUAGCCCCGCGCCCCGAGUUCACAUGCCCGGUUCUGCUUGAUCACGUGGCCCCGCCCCCUUGUUCAUGUGCCCACUUCCCGCUUGAUCAAACCAGUCUGGGAGGGGCUGGUGGGUUGACCCCUUAUACAGAGGGGUGCAGACACCAGGUGGGCACUCCGCCCUGCUCCCCUCUCCAGACCCUCAGAAAUGCCUUGAGCACCAAGUCUGUGCUGACGUCCAGCUCCUGGAGGGCUCGGCCUACGCACUGCAGCCACCAGAGGGGACCCAUCUGCAGAGUGGCCUGGCCCCAAAGCCAUUCUUCAGCCUCACACUUACCUCUUCUGAAGGGUAACCAGGUGUGGUUUCCACCCAGCCCAGCUGCCUGCCUUGGGAGGCAGCAGAGACUGUCACCCUCUGCUGGCCCAUUCCUGUUACUGCAGAAGGAGGUAAAGUGGCCUCAGCGUGGGCAGAGCAGCAGAGAGGAGCCAGUUACUCAGAGGGCAGAUGCUCCAUGGAAGCCUCCAGCACAAGCAGUCAACCCCUAAAGCCUCCAACAGUCCAGCUUAUUAUAGCCCUCUCUCUAGGAACCUCUCAGUGUGGAGCAGUGUAGGCUCAGAGACCACCAACCAUCAAGAAUGGGCUCUGUCUCUCAACUCCCAAGGGCCUUGCCAGCUUGUGAUCUUUGAACAUCCAUCUCCUUGGAUGAGUUACAUAAGUGAUAGGUGGGUAAUGUCACCUACUUAGGGGUCUCAGCCCUGGGAUGGCUCCAAAACACCACAUAUUCACCAUCUCUCCCAGGAGGACAUUGAAUCCUCCUGGAACUGGAUCUCCAGGAGACACCAGAUGGGACAACACUUAGCUUCAUAGUUAAGCUCUUACUCUGAAAUUCAACAUUACACAGAGAAAAUUCUUUUCUUUGGCCAUUGUUCCUAAAGACACCAGGAAAACCAGUGCUGAACUGUGAUGUAGCAAUGAACAAAGGGCUAGAAGGUGUUCCUGAACUUUCCUCUUUGUGAUUUGCAUAUCCGAGAAAACAUACCCUAAUUAGAGAGAAACCAGUUAUUAACUAGAACAGAGGAACUAGAUCAUGUCAUCCUCUUCCUGCUCUACUGCCCCGCCCCACACUCCUUUCUGGUAACACUGAGGGUAUAAAUUGUGGCUGGGCUCUGUGUGUGCAUUCACAUCAAAAGCCAAAAUGAAGACAUGCACACUCUUUGCUCUAGUGGCUUUCAUCACCGUGGGGAUGGAGAUGGCCUGUGGUGACCCUCUGACACCUCCUGUCCAAGAGCAACAAAGACCUGGAGUCUGCCCCAAGGUGCCCAAAGGAACCUUUGGGAUUUGUCUUGAUAGAUGCACAGGAGAUGCAUCUUGUCCCAAGGGAAUGAAAUGCUGCGUCCAUGGAUGUGGUCGUGUCUGCAAAACUGCUGUCCCUGCAAAGGGUGGCUUGGGUGGCCCAGUGAAAGAUGGACAAGGUGUUUAUUAAGCGUGCCUGGAGACCAGCCCCAGAAGAUUUCUCAUGAAUCUGAUGCUUGGCUAACAAGACUCUUCUACAAACCAUUCCUGGCUAUUCUCUAUCCCUGGACUUGCAGCUCUAGAAGAUGAAGAUCUAAAGUGGUGGAGUGACCACUUCUAAAGAGCUUAUGUCCAAAAUAAACCUUAUCUGUGGCAUGAUUCAGGCUCUGUCAUUCUUCCCAUUUAGGCAUUCUAGUGGACCUCUGUGGAUGGGCAGGACCAUAUGUGUGUCCUGCACUGAGCCCAUGAAUGCAAGGUACUCAUGAAAGAUCAGAGGCAACAUCCUUCCAGCUAGUUCCUUUCCUCCUUCCAUGUCCAUGUCUCUAGACAGGGCAAAGGGCAUAAUAAUAUUUUCUCAAUCAUUCUGUGAAUAAAAAUGACCUUCUAGCACUUAGCAAGCCUAUUGGAGCAGGACUGGAUGCCUAACUCCAGGAGAGCAACCCCAGCCCUUGGGAUGUGGGACUUUGAGUGGCAAAGACUGGGAAGUGCCAGCUCCGGCCCUGGAGUGACUAGGAGUUAGGGUACAGUCAGGACAUAGGCUCUGUGGGUGGAGUCUUUGAUUCAGAGUUUUCCUGAGGCAGAGGAUAAACCUAGGUCUCCCAAAGAAGCCUUGACAAAAACUAUGGUCUGAGCUGACCGCUACAAGCUCCAUCUCCCAGCGCUCUCUGUUCACUUUCCCACCUUGAUCCCCCCACUUAGCCUGCCGAGUUUGGCAGGCUCCCAUCAACUUGUCCCUGUCCAUCAUGCUGCUGUUGCUUCUCCAUAGCACAUCUUAUAACCCCAGUGGCCCAUGGCCUCACCAGUCUGUACAUUGGAAUGAGCAUAUUAGCAUCAAUAUCUUCUUUUACUGGUUGGUCAUCUACAUCCCAAACCCCAGCAUGCUUUAGUCACUCUUGGUCAUUUUUGGAGGUUCAUAGACACCUCUAACAUGGUCUCAAACAAUUUCACCUAUUGUCUGCCAUUCUGAAUGCCAAAGAUACUUGAGGAUGGCAUCCUACAACUUCCACUUACCUUUCUGCCCUUUAGAUAGUCCUGAAAUCCCUAGAAAGUUGUUUGUGCUCUUUUGUCAGCUUCUCAUUUUUUUUCUCGCCUGCAUUCCAACCCCCUUUAUAUUUUGGAGAAAACUCUUCUUUCUCCUUAUGGAAAUUGACAAGGGCCAGACAGUCUCACCCUGCUUCCUAGCAGGUAGGGUUUGGAAUUAGGAUGCUAUUUUCUGAUGAUGUGGAUUGAUAGGGAGUGACACUUAAGACUUAUGAAUUGUCAAAACCAAUUCACAACAGCAGAGGUGCCAGUGACAGCAUCCUAACCAGAUUUGCCACGGGCUGAACUUGGCUAUGUCCUCUUCUACCUGCUGUAUUUAGGUCCUUGAUAUUUUUCCCAAGCCUGGUUCACCAGCCUUUCCUACUGUUUCUGUGAGCUGUAUACUAAUGUCUUUCCAGAAUUCCUGUUCUCUCAAGUUGGACAGAAUUGGCUUUUUUGUUUGCAUCCAAGAACAUUAACUUGUACAGAAAUUGGUGUCAGGAGUGGACACAGGCCAAAAAUACUCGGGGAGAUGGCAGGAGUCUGGGUUUUAUGAACUGGUCUAGUUAGAAGCCCCCUUGUUCACAUGCCUAUGCUCUCCUGUUCACGUGGCCUACCCCCUUGAGACCUUGGAUGGUCUCUGUUUUGGGGAGCCACCUCCAUGGUGGGCAGAGCUACAAAUGGAACCCUGGGUUGCUCACAGCUUGUGUUUCUUUACCUGUGACCUCUGGCUGAGCGCCCCUCACCCUGUGGCCAUUUGCUCUACUGGGCUUCUCCCUUCCCCUGACCCCCCUCUCCCACCCUCAGUGGACAGGGGUCCUGUCAUUGCACCUGUGCCUCUGGGCGGCUGCUGGGUGCCUCCUGGUACAAGACCCUGAUGCCACCCCACCUCUGUGGCAGCAUCUCUCAUCCCCUGGAGACCCCAUUCAGUGCUCCCCUGCAGCUCCAAGGACCUGCUGAGCCCAGGUCCCAGCCUGUCACUAGUUCCCCAAGUCCUGCCUGCAGCCCAGGAUCCUCAAGGCAGUCUGAGAGGAGGAUAGACCCCUUAGACAGAGUGGUGCAGACACCAGAAAUGCCUUGAGCACCAAGUCUGUGCUGACGUCCAGCUCCUGGAGGGCUCGGCCUACGCACUGCAGCCACCAGAGGGGACCCAUCUGCAGAGUGGCCUGGCCCCAAAGCCAUUCUUCAGCCUCCCACUUACCUCUUCUGAAGGGUAACCAGGUGUGGUUUCCACCCAGCCCAGCUGCCUGCCUUGGGAGGCAGCAGAGACUGUCACCCUCUGCUGGCCCAUUCCUGUUACUGCAGAAGGUCAGAACCAGGCUG